rnacentral:rRNA from 1 species
CCAUCAUUUAAAGAGUGCGUAAUAGCUCACUAGUCGAGUGACCCUGCGCCGAAAAUGUACCGGGGCUAAAACAAUUUACCGAAGCUGUGGAUACCUUUAUAGGUAUGGUAGGAGAGCGUUCUAUGUGCGAAGAAGGUGUACCGUGAGGAGUGCUGGAACGCAUAGAAGUGAGAAUGCCGGUAUGAGUAGCGAAAGACAGGUGAGAAUCCUGUCCACCGUAAGACUAAGGUUUCCAGGGGAAGGCUCGUCCGCCCUGGGUUAGUCGGGACCUAAGGAGAGACCGAAAGGUGUAUCCGAUGGACAACAGGUUGAUAUUCCUGUACUAGAGUAUGUAGUGAUGGAGGGACGCAGUAGGCUAACUAAAGCAGACGAAUGGAAGAGUCUGUCUAAGCAGUGAGGUGUGAAUUGAGUUAAAUGCUUAAUUCUAUAACAUUGAGCUGUGAUGGGGAGCGAAGUUUAGUAGCGAAGUUAGUGACGUCACACUGCCAAGAAAAGCUUCUAGCGUUUAAACAUACUCUACCCGUACCGCAAACCGACACAGGUAGUCGAGGCGA